UGCCAGCCGCCGCGGUAAUACGAGGGCCUCGAACGUUGUCCGGAUUCAUUGGGCGUAAAGCGUCCGCAGGUGGUUUGGUAAGUGAGUUGUUAAAUCCCGAGGCUUAACCUCGGAACUGCCUUCAAUACUGUCAGUCUUGAGAUCGGAAGAGGUGAGUGGAAUUCCUAGUGUAGAGGUGAAAUUCGUAGAUAUUAGGAAGAACACCAGUGGCGAAGGCGGCUCACUGGUCCGAUACUGACGCUGAGGUGCGAAAGCGUGGGGAGCGAACAGGAUUAGAUA
rnacentral:rRNA from 1 species